GAAAAAAAAAGGUCCCUUGCUGAAAUAAUAGACAUAGAACAAAAAAAAAGUGUUUAUAAAGGUUUGGUCCUGUCAUGACGCACUCUGUCUCCUUUGGGUCCAGGAAUACCAGCAGCUCCUCUUUCUCCAGGCAUUCCCUGCAGGCCCUGGGGUCCUUGAGCUCCGCGAGAACCAGCGGGGCCAAUUGCUCCCUAAAGAGUUUGGAGGCAGUAGGAAAGUGGCAGCAGCAGAAGGUGAGCUUACUGAUGGUCCAACUUUGCCUUGUGGUCCAGCAUCACCUGGGCGACCAGUCAGACCCUGCCAGAGAGCAAGAGCAAGAACAGUGCAGAUGAAAUGCAGAUGAGUCAGCUCAAUGAAGACAUGCGCUGAAGAGAUGUGGGAAAAUAGAACGUAUGACAUGGUUGGAAAAAAAUGCAUUAUUACUUUUACUGGUUUAUUGUCUUAGAAGCAGCAGUUUAAUGCCAUCAGCUGAUGUCUUAUUGCACAAGGAGCAAGGGAAACAAAUUCAUAAAGAUUGAAAAAUAUACAAAUUGAUGAAUAUUGUGGCUGUUAACUGAAAACGUGAUUGAACUUUGAUGACGUUCCUAAAUAAAGAAAGCACAAAACUUU